UGGCUCAUUCCAUUCAUGCUCUCUGCAGUAUUUUAAGGGAAUUAGGGACUUGAGCAUUUGCUCAUUCUCUGGUUGUAGUUUUCUCGUCUGUUUCAAGGGGCACUGUGUUUGUUUAAAUAUAUUUCGUGUACCCAUAUAAUAUAUGAUAAACUUGAACUCAGAAAGGGUACAUGAUUUGCCCAGGGUUGUAGAGUUAGCAAGUUGAAGAACCAAAAUUCAGCUCUGGGCUGUGUGACUCAAAGCCUCUAUUCUGAAUUGCUGUGAUGCAUGGAAUUAACUGGAAUUUUAUUCAUCAUUUAUACUAAAACCUGACCCCAAGUUUCUUUUUAGUACACAAUCCAAAACAUCCCUCAUGCUGCACAAAUGAGAAAUCAAACACAUAAUAAAUCUGUACAUGUAGUGACAUGGUAACAGAAAAUGAUGACAUUGAUCCAACUAUAAUCAUUUGGGUAUCUAAGUCAUUUCAAAGCAAAUCUCUGGAACACAAUUUUGUCUCAAAGACUGGAGAGAACAAAACUCUGAGUCAGAAUUGUAGUUCUCCAUUUAAUAGCCCUGUAACUUGAGACAUGUUACUUAACAUUUUAAGACUGUUUUAUUAUAUGUCAAAUAAAGAUACUGGACUGGAAUAAAUUAAAGAGUUAUACUGUACAAUGUAGGGACUCUAGUUAAUAACAAUAUAUUGUAUUCUUCUUUUUUUUUUUUGAGUCAGUGUCUUGCUCUGUUGCCCAGGCUGGAGUGCAGUGGCGUGAUCUCAGCUCACUGCAACCUCCACCUCCUGGGUCAAGCGAUUCUUAUGCCUCAGCCUCCCAAGCAGCUGGAAUUACAGGUUUUUUUCAAUUGGAGGCAUCUGUCUAAGCAAUAUAGCCCAACCGAUCAGCUGCAUUCCUGCGGAGCCGUAUCUUCCGUAUAUAUAAAUGAGGGAGUGAGCAGACAAGCUGUGAAAUGUCUAGAUUCCAGAGCAGCAGACUGUGAUUCAUUCCCAACAACCCCUCCCUACCGUCUGCCACAAGCUCCCAUAAAGCAGGGAUCAGAGCUAGGCUGGCUCAACUUAGGAGAGACGUGCCUUCCCUCUUUCCAGCAGCCAGCUCGGCCUGUGUUCCUCUGCUGCUUAAGUAUCCCAUGACUCAUACCAAGCCCUUGGUUCAUCCCUCACCUUUCAGAGUGACUGUCUAAAGUUCAUAUCCAGUCCUUGUUACUUUCAUGUUUAAUGGACUUCUGUGGAUUCCUUUAGGCCGUAGAAUAAAGUCUAAGCUGUUUAGAAUGGCAUCUAAAGCUUUCAAAAUUUUUAUCCACUGCUUUAUUUUUUUCCAAUUUCAUCUCUCCCAUAACUGACUCCAAACAGGCUGGGCUCUAGCCAUAAUCUAAACUUCCUGCCAGUUCCCAAAUCACAGAAGUUCUUUUUAUCCUCUGUGUUUUGCAUGAAUUUUUCUUGUACUAGUUCUUUCCCCCUUCGACUUGGAAAUCACCAACUUAUUUUUCAAGAAAAACUUGAUUCAUUUGUGAAUUCAUUCACUUAUUGAGUAAUCAUUAUGCUAGAUAUUACACUAGUAUACCCAUUUCAGGACUAGUCUGGUGCAAACUGAAAACAUGGAACACUUGUUAAAAAAAAAAUGGUGUGAAUGUCAAGACAGCAACAGCAGCACAUUAAACCAAGAUUAAGUCUCUUCUAAGUCUAAGGCCAUGUGCACCUGCAUAGGUCACACUCUCAUGAAACCAGCUUUGAUCUACCCUCUCUCAUCUGGAUUAGGUUGGUUCACAAUACAUUCCAUGAGAGACAGCAAAACCCCUCAACUUUUACUGUCUUUAAAGAAAAAUAAUUACACAUGAAUGUGAAGAGUACUGGUAAAGACAGGUCUUCAUUUGGGGUGGCCUUACCAAGUCUGCUUUUCAGUUCUUCCCUCAUUUUCUUGGUUUUUCAUCAUUGCUAAGAUGCCAGACAUCUAACAGACAUCCCAAAGAAUGUGACAGAAAAGGAACCGUAUCAUCUUCUACUUUGGUAUCAAGGAAAAAAUGUAUAUCUAAUCCCUGACCCUGCAUCUAAUGUUUUAUGUAUGUCAUAUUUAUCAUUACGCACAGAGGAAAAAUAAAUACCACUGAAGAGGUUGCGUAUUUGUUCAUUAAUCAGUCAGAUUUUGUGACUGGACUGUGUCUCCAGUGGUGAGCAAGCUGAAAGGGGUUUUGCUCUUUCCUCCAUUUACUGGCAGAAACUAGGUGAGAUUUAAUGAUCAUCUAAAGAACAGAGCUUCUGGACAUCAGAAUGACCCUGUUCAUUAAAAUAUA
rnacentral:lncRNA from 1 species